UUCUGGAAGAAGUAGGAGUCAUGACU
rnacentral:piRNA from 1 species